UUCCAGUAAUGAAGAUGAUGACGGUAAUUACAGAAGAAGCCCCGGCUAACUUCGUGCCAGCAGCCGCGGUAGUACGAAGGGGGCGAGCGUUGUCCGGAAUCACUGGGCUUAAAGCGUACGUAGGCGGCCAUUCAAGUCAAGAGUGAAAUCCCAGGGCUUAACCCUGGAAUUGCUUUUGAAACUGGAUGGCUUGUGUCCCGGAGAGGUUGGCGGAAUUCCGAGUGUAGAGGUGAAAUUCGCAGAUAUUCGGAGGAACACCAGUGGCGAAGGCGGCCAACUGGACGGGUACAGACGCUGAGGUACGAAAGCGUGGGGAUCAAACAGGAUUAGAUACCCUGGUAGUCCACGCUGUAAACUAUGUUUGCUAGCUGUUGGGGCCUUAAGGUCUCAGUGGCGUAGGGAAACCAUUAAGCAAACCGCCUGGGGAGUACGGUCGCAAGAUUAAAACUCAAAGGAAUUGACGGGGACCCGCACAAGCGGUGGAGUAUGUUGUUUAAUUCGAAGCAACGCGAAGAACCUUACCUACACUUGACAUACCUCUUGGGACCUUCAGAGAUGAAGGUUUUCGGUUCGGCCGGGGAGAGUACAGGUGCUGCAUGGCUGUCGUCAGCUCGGUCG
rnacentral:rRNA from 1 species